GGCUGCAUUCAUCCAUCUCGUGCUUAUCGCCUACCCCAACUCCGACUCCUGCUCGUCGCUCGCCGCUCGCCGCCACGUCCAGCUCUCUCCGCCCCUCCGGACUAGCCUAGCCCCUCCCGCUCACCGUGUCGUCUCCAGAAUCUGGCCUACGACCGUUGACGGCUGGUGCCCCCUCUGGCAAUCGGUGGUCGUGGUCUGUCCUUGCUCACCCCAUCCAGAUCCGCUAUGCGCGAGCCUCCCCUUUCCUAAUCACGCGCCCCCUGCCCCAGCGAUCCACAGCUGCCGCCCCCUGUAUCGCCGAUCCGUGGCUGCCGCCUCCUCCUUCCCAUAAUCACACCCUCCGGUCCCGUCGAUCCGUAGUUGUCGCCUCCCCCCAUCCCCUAAUCACGCGCGUCUCGCUCCCGCCGAUCCGCGGAUCGGCUCUGCUCCAACCCUCCUCCGCCCCUGAGAUGCAGCGAGCAUCACGGGGGAUUUCUCCCUUGAGGUGUUGCCUGAGAGGUGCUGCUGACCGAGUAGCAUCAUUGAAGAGUUACUAUCGAGCACUUGGAUUAUGUGAUCGAUGUGCAGAGAAGUGGUUCCAAGGGAACAAGUGUGCCAACACGGUGCAACUUCACGCCAUUGAGGAAGUCUAGGAUUUGCUCACCUUGGAUGAAGCUACAGUGGAAGUCAUUGAACCAACAGAGGAACUGAUGAUGGUUGUAUCCCUGUCUAAUGCGGCAUGGUUCGGAUCUGACAUGAUAUCAACCACGAGAUUACAGGGUCAGAUUCAACAACAUAAUCUCUUAGUUCUUAUUGAUUCAGGGUCUUCACAUACUUUCCUCAAUGACAUUCGUCGACCACUAUUGUUUGGAGUCCAAGAAUUGACAACACCAAUUACAGUUUAGGUUGCUAAUGGCCAAGUUAUUACCUGCUCACACCACCUUCCAGCAGCUCAAUGGACCAUCAGUAUAGCCCGACGAGAGUGGAUUGGACAAACAAGCGGAUGGUUAUUUCUUAUCAGGAAAAUACUAUCUACCUUACUAGUGGGAAUGGUGGUGGAAUUAUUGUUACUAUCUGAAACAUCAUUAUCCACAUCUGACUCUAGCAUAGCAGCUGUUGCAGUGGAUUCCAGAGUGCAAGCUCUACUCGACAGUUAUCCUAGCAUUUUCAUCGAUCCAGUGGGACUCCCACCAACCCGCCCGUGUGAUCAUUCAAUUUCAUUGAUCCCCGGUGCCCAGCCGUUCCACAUAAGGCCAUACCGUUACCCUCCAACCCUCAAAGAUGAAAUUGAAACUCAAGUUAAGGAAAUGCUAUCCAGGGGGUGAUACGAAAGAGUAGCGGCCCCUUUGAAUCUCCAAUUCUCUUGGUCAAAAAGAAAGACCACUCAUGGAGAUUCUGUGUAGAUUACCGUUAUUUGAAUGCCACGACGGUGAAGAGUAAAUACCCUGUGCUGAUAUUCGAUCAGUUCUUUGUGCUCAGGCACUAGGCAUGUAGAGGUAUUUUUUGUUGUUAUUUUCUCUUUAUGUGGAUGUGGUUACAAGGCUGUUGACAAAAUAUUACUACUCCAUUGUCCUCCCUCUCACCCAUAAGGUAUUUGAUAUAUUACUUUGUCCAGUCGAUGCAGCUUACAAGGCUGUUGACAAAAUAAUCCAGGUUUGUUGGCACACUUUUAAUCUUUCUUGUACGGGUACACUACUUCUAACAAUGGAAUAUGAAUGUUGUUUUUUGCGCAAAAGUUGCCUGGCUUUUAGCAUCGUUUGAUGGGUGAGGACACACAUCGCCUCCAAAUACUAGAACGCUAGGGAUAUUUGUUCUCUCAAAUAAAGCUUUACCUGUUAUAUUAUAUAAUACUUCCGUAAGAAGAGCUGUUAGUGGCUGGAGUGAAUAGAAUUUGGUUGGUCGGUGCCUCCAAGUUGUUUGGUCUACCGUUCAAAUGCCUUAUUAUUCUGCGAGUUGUUUUAAGACUAGGCCUCAAUUUUUUUCCAGGCAGAAAGUGCUACUGCCUCUCUCAACUAUAGCGGUGUGGUACUGGGAUCCUUGCCAAUAAGGGUGAGCCCGUCCAUGACGCCAGUGCGUCCCCGUGCCCCUCGCCAGCUGAUGUCGUCCUAGGCUCUGAAGCCAUCUUCUGGACCUCACAAGUCCAGGGAGUGCAUGCCUCUGAUCCUCAUCAUCAGGAACAUGCUCAAGUAUGCACUGACGUACCGUGAGGUCAUUUCUAUCCUGAUGCAACGCCAUGUACUUGUUGAUGGCAAGGUCAGGACUGACAAGACCUACCCUGCUGGGUUCAUGGGUAUGCCGAUAUCUCUAUUAAUGCAUAAAGAUACCUAUACACAUAUCUUGGUAGCUGUGUGAGGUUGCUGUUUUUCGUUAGUAGAUCUAUGUACCUUAUCCUUGCUAUACUGUCCAUAUAUGUUGUGUGCAUGAAAGUCUUGCAUUGAAAAUGUCAUGUGCUACAAUCGUUAGGACUAUUAAUAGAUGUUGCUCUUUCUAUCUAUCCAUUUACAUCGCUGGAAAUUCCCAUGCCCUUUCAUAGUACGCCUGUGAAAUGCUCACUGCUUUUCUAUAGGUUUGUGUGUAGUUCAAGCUCUACAAGGUGAGGUUUGUUCAGUUUGGCCAGAAAGGCAUCCCCUACCUGAACACCUAUUUGUUGUACAGGAAAACAUAGAAUGGAAUUCAAAUUUGGUGGCCGCAAAAGUGUGGAGACUUGAAUUCAUAUAAAGUUAGGCUUAAUAUUAGUGCAAACAGUUGUAUUUUAGUUUAGAUUUAGAGUACACUUAUGUAUGCCUUGUUUGAUAAUGCU